rnacentral:lncRNA from 1 species
AUGCAAGGAAAGAAGAAAGAGAAAAUUAAAACAAAAGCCAGUUCACUUUCUGACACUUCCAUUCUUGAAAAGUUUAUGAAAACCUAUGAAAGGCACUGUGCCUUUUCCCAAAGCUCUGUCAGUGGCACGAUCAAACGGAGCUUGAGAAAAUGCAUAGAAAAUGAAACUAUUCUUACAAAGUUUGUGCUCACAAACUCUCAGAAUUCCCAGCCAGUCUUCCUCACACCUCUAUUAAGGACAAUUAGAGAUGAACGGUAUAUGUUAGGAAAGGAACUUUGUAUCUGGGGAAUUCAGCUAAACGAUCAAGACAUUGUAAACCUUGCAAUGCUUUUAGAGCGGAAUGGACAUACCAACUAUCCCUUUUGUACUCUAGAAAUAACUCAUGUUCCGAUAGAUGCAUGGUCCAUGGAGCGACUUGGAGCAGCUUUCCCUUUCAGCAACUUGAACUCCAUUGUUCUAGAUUAUACCAAGUUUGGAGAUAAAGGAAUCAAUGGACUUGUUUCUGGAUUAGAGGGAAACACAAAACUUCUAACCCUCAGCUUAUGCUACUGCAGUUUGGAACCUGAAAGUGGGUCCAAGUUAGGCCCCAUUGUAGCCCAAACUGCCAUUUGCAAUCUUUAUCUAAAUGGUAACAACUUGCAAUGUUUGGGUGCCCUUGAGCUCAUCACAUCAAUAGCUAUAUAUGCAGACAAUCUUGGAAGAGAUAAGGAAACAAAUACCUUCCUAUUCAACAAUUAUUCUGAUAAUCAAGUACCAGAAGCAGACAAAGAUUUGGGUAUCCACUCAACAGCUUCUGGCUUGAACGUUGCUUCCAAAACAGGAAACUCUAACACAGUGGAAAGUAGUAUGAGGAAGGAAAAGAAAAGAAAAGGAACUAAAAAAAAAGAAAAGAAAAGUGAAGUUGGCCCAUGGUUAGUUAAAUUGCAUUUGGCUGAUAAUGGUAUAGAUGGAAGAGGAAAGGGAGGAGAAAAGAUGGUCUUGGAGUUCACACAGUUUUUAACUUACCUAAUCAAACACUCUGAACACUUGAUAGAACUUGAUCUACAUGGCAACGCUAUAGGAGAACUUUGUGCAACAGACAUCCUGGAAGCUCUUAAGGAGAGAAAAAAAGACAAGAUGCCAGGCUUAAAUAUUAAGGUUACACCACAGAUUUCCUCAAAUACUUUCAAGUCAAUUUUCAAGAACAGCAAGAAGCUCAAAUCAACUAAAAAGAGAAUGAAAAAGGGCCUACUUCAAACACUUCAGGCACAUAAGUAGUGCCAUUGAAGUCAACAGGACUACUUGUGUGCUACUAUGUGUAUAUGCAUAACCAUUUUCAAGAUCGAGAUCUCAGCAUAACUUAUUUCAGAUACACCAAUUAUGUAUUCAUUUGGAAUAAGAUUGUGACAUCCUAUACCUUGAGAUGGGGGGCAUCCUGGAACCCCCACAUUCCCAUGAUCUUGCAUAUAAAGCAUGCCUUAUAAGGUAUCAGGGAAAGGUUAUGAUAUGCUGAAAGUCAUUUAUCUAUCUAUAUAUGUAUAUCAUUAAUGCAUCUGAAGUUAUGAGAAUUAUGUUGUAUGGUGGUCACUACAACAUGCUGUAAGUUGGGGAAUCAGUCAGAUAUUAGCUUCCCAGAGGCAACAGCAAGGAAAGUAGCCAACACCUGAGUGCAGUGUCAAUCAAUCCAUCAAUAAUCAUUGUCCAGCAAGGGAGCUACAAUGCAAUGACUCACCUGCAUGAGGCCACACCAGGGGAAUUGCUCAACCUUGCUUGGAGAGACUUACCAAUGCACCCAGACAUGCCUGGACUUGUGUUUUCCAAGCAAAUGGACUGAAGAUAUAAAACCAAACACAGGGGGCCCAGGCUGGGCCUUCUUCCUUCACCUACCUAUGCUGCAAGCAACAAGGACACACUGAAGACUCCAACUGAGGGGACUGGCCUAGAUUUCAAGGAUGAAAUCUGUGUACUAUGAACUGCAAUAUCCAGGUGGGUGAGAAAAACUGCUUAAUCUAGAUGUUGCCCAGUCUAAUAAGGUUGAGAGUUUAGACUGAAUGCUUAUAUUUUAUUUUAUUUUGGUAACCACUCUGACUUUUUGCCUAUCACUUGAUAUCACUUAAAAUCUAUUUUUGUAGUCAAUAAAUUUGUUAAAGUGUUUGUCUUUACCA